GGGACUGGCAGAACCUGCGGGCGAGGUGGGUGGCUCGCCAGCCGGGACGAAGGGAAAUGAGGACCACCGCUCCGGGGCGCGAGUAGGCGCGUGGAGUCCGGGGGCUCAGCCGCCGCGCCUCUUCCUCCUGCAGCUGGAGACUGCAACAGCGGCGGGUGCACCGGCAGCAGCGACGACCCUGCGCGCAGGUGGCAGUGUAGAAGCCAGACCGGGAGCUUCCAGAAGUGGUUUCUGAAAGAGUCAAAUGUACAUGAGUAAGCAAGCACAGGAAUCUGAAAAACCACAGGCCCACUAAUUUGCCUGCUUGACUAAAAUAAGGACGAGUUAUGUGCUGAUGAGAGACAUGUUUGUAAUGUUAUUCGUUGUGACACAGUUCAAAAGAAUUUGCCUUUGAUUCUCACUAAAAUGUAAAGUUUUGCAUAUUAAGAUCCUUUUUCAACAACUGAGCAACUCUUUAUAAUGAAGGGCAGAAGACGCCAAAGGGAAGAAAAUAUUUACCUUUGUGGGCUUUUACUUUCUUUCCUGGGAAUGGUAGGCCAUAGCUAUUGGUAUGUUUUUUUGUUGUUGUUGUUGUUGUUGUUGUUGUUUUUUGAGAAGGAGUCUCUGUCGCCCAGGCUGUAGUGUAGUGGCAUGAUCUCGACUCACUGCAACCUUCACCUCGGGUUCAAGCGAUUCCCCUGCCCCAGCCUCCUGAGUGGCUGAGAUUACAGGCACCCACCACCAGGCCCGGCUAAUUUUUGUAUUUUUAGUAGAGAUGGGGUUUCACCAUGUUGGUAAGGCUGGUCUCCAACUCCUGACCUCGGGUGAUCCUCCCGCCUCGGUCUCCCAAAGCGCUGGGAUUACAGGCAUGAGCCAGCGCCUACCACCGCUAUUGGUACUUUCACACGGAUGCUAAAGUUAUUGUGCUGGCCGUGUUAAGGGUCAGGCAUCAAAAUGGCCGCUCAAGAGAAUGAAGCUUUCUCUUUGUGCAGAUGCAACGGGUGGGAUGGGGUGCACAAUUAUCACAGUGCUGGUUGUGGUGUUACCUCGACAUUCUGCCUUACAGCUGAGGAGGGAUUUGUUUCGUCCCUGCUAAUGAAGGUGUUAAAUAAACUUGGAUGCUGUUAUUGAAGCUUAAAAAAUAAAUGGAAGCUGGGUGCGAUGGCUCAAGCCUGGAAUCCCAGCACUUUGAGAGACCGAGAUGGGAGGAUUGCUUGAGCUCAGGAGUUCAAGACCAGCCUAGACAACAUGGCAACACCCUGUCUCUACAAAAAAUUACAAAAAGUAGCCAGGCGUGGUGAUGUGCACCUGUAGCUAUGUGUACCUGUAGUCCCACACAGUCGGGAGGCUGAGGUGGGAGCCUCCCUUGAGCCUGGCAGGUCAAGGCUGUGAUGAGCCACGAUCAUGCCACUGCACUCCAGCCUGGGUGUGACAGUGAGAUCCCUUCUUAAGAAAAAAAAAAAAAAGAAAAAAAAGAAA
rnacentral:lncRNA from 1 species